rnacentral:rRNA from 1 species
GACGAACGCGGCGGCGUGCUUAACACAUGCAAGUCGAACGAAGAGCGAUGGAAGCUUGCUUCUAUCAAUCUUAGUGGCGAACGGGUGAGUAACGCGUAAUCAACCUGCCCUUCAGAGGGGGACAACAGUUGGAAACGACUGCUAAUACCGCAUACGAUCUAACCUCGGCAUCGAGGAAAGAUGAAAGGUGGCCUCUAUGUAUAAGCUAUCACUGAAGGAGGGGAUUGCGUCUGAUUAGCUAGUUGGAGGGGUAACGGCCCACCAAGGCGAUGAUCAGUAGCCGGUCUGAGAGGAUGAACGGCCACAUUGGGACUGAGACACGGCCCAGACUCCUACGGGAGGCAGCAGUGGGGAAUCUUCCGCAAUGGACGAAAGUCUGACGGAGCAACGCCGCGUGAGUGAUGACGGCCUUCGGGUUGUAAAGCUCUGUUAAUCGGGACGAAAAGG